rnacentral:rRNA from 1 species
AGCGAACGCUGGCGGCAGGCCUAACACAUGCAAGUCGAACGAACCCUUCGGGAUUAGUGGCGGACGGGUGAGUAACACGUGGGAACGUGCCUUUAGGUUCGGAAUAACUCAGGGAAACUUGUGCUAAUACCGAAUGUGCCCUUCGGGGGAAAGAUUUAUCGCCUUUAGAGCGGCCCGCGUCUGAUUAGCUAGUUGGUGAGGUAAUGGCUCACCAAGGCUACGACCAGUAGCUGGUCUGAGAGGAUGACCAGCCACAUUGGGACUGAGACACGGCCCAAACUCCUACGGGAGGCAGCAGUGGGGAAUCUUGCGCAAUGGGCGAAAGCCUGACGCAGCCAUGCCGCGUGGAUGAUGAAGGUCUUAGGAUUGUAAAAUCCUUUCACCGGUGAAGAUAAUGACUGUAGCCGGAGAAGAAGCCCCGGCUAACUUCGUGCCAGCAGCCGCCGUAAAAC